rnacentral:rRNA from 1 species
AACAAACGCUGGCGGCGUGCCUAAUACAUGCAAGUCGAACGGGGAAAGCUUUCGGGUGAGUACUAGUGGCGCACGGGUGAGGAACGCGUGGAUAAUCUGCCUUAGAGUGGGGGAUAACUAGUCGAAAGAUUAGCUAAUACCGCAUAAGACCACGAGAGCUGCGGCUUUUGAGGUCAAAGGUUUUUCGCUCUAAGAUGAGUCCGCGUAAGAUUAGCUAGUUGGUGAGGUAACGGCUCACCAAGGCGACGAUCUUUAACUGGUCUGAGAGGAUGAUCAGUCAAACGGAAAUAGAGAAGCGGCCAAGACCCAUAGGGGGGGAAGAAGUGGGGAAUAUUGCAAAAGGGAGGAACCUCUGAUGCAGCGCCCCCGGGGGAGGAAUGAGGGCUUUCGGGGCGAAAAGCUUUGUCGCGGGGAAAUAACAAAAUGAAGGUACCUUGUAAGAAAGAACCGGCUAACUUCGUG